GCUAAAAACCAUUCUAUUGUAAUUAAAAGUUAACCUAGAACAGCUUCCUGAUAGGCUUUAUAAGAAAAUUAGCUGUCUUACAGUGAAGGUUGGCUAGCAAAUCUUAUUGUAGAAUGACUUUCUGCUUUCUCUCACCUUUGGAAAUAAGUUUACUUCUUAAGUCUCAUAAAACAUCAGUGAAUAAAACACAUCACUGCUCUUUAUAGCAAUGUUUCAAAUUCAGAUGAAACAUUUUCUAACUUGGUUACAAUUAUAGGGAAUGGUGGGGGAAAAAAGUGAAGACAUAAAAUUACACAAAGGUUUAAUUCCUCAGUAGCAAGUAUACAUUUUACUGCUGUUUCUUCAGAAAAGCAAAAAAUCCCAAGUCAACAAUCAAUAGGAAGAUAUAUAUAAAAGUUGGUAGUGAGCCACUAAGGCCUAGAUUGUCAGUCUUCAUCUGAGAAUAAACACUUUACCCAGCACAGACACAAGUACUAGCCCUCAGAUCUGUAAAGAGAAGCAAACAAUUUUCCCUGUACCCAUCCUGAAGAAAAACUGUAAGGCUAAAGUACAGUGCAGACAAUUAGCUCCUGAUUCAUUGGCAUGCACAGAUUGAAUCUACUGCUGUUACUUUCUGUCUAGGUGUUGAUUGUUUGUUUCCCCAUGAAAGCUAAUAAUUUCUUUUUACUUGCUUUGUUAAUGAUGCCUAUGACUGAACUUGUUAUCAAUUUAACCUUUGGGCAUGGAUGGAUUAAAAAAUAUUAUUCCCC